rnacentral:sRNA from 1 species
CUUCUAGAACUUCCCGGCGAUGAAAACGGUGGCGAACAGAGUGAAUCACCGGAGGAGGAGGAGGAGGAAGAAUCGGACAGGGAAGAACCGUCUGCUUCCGAUCCAGGA